GGAAUGUCUGUAGCUCAGUGGUAGAGCAUCUGCUCUGCAAUCAGAAGGUCCCACUUUCAAUCCCCAGGGUCUCCA